GACGAACGCUGGCGGCGUGCCUAAUACAUGCAAGUAGAACGCUGAGGGCUGAUCUUGCUUCUAUGCAUGAGUUGCACACGGGUGUGAAACGCGUGUAUACCCUGCCUGGUAGCGGGAGAUCACUAUUGGAAACGAUCGAUAAUACCGCAUAAUCGUCUAUGUUGCGUGGCAUGUACUUAAAAGUUGCCAUUGGGUCACUACCAGAUGGCCCUGCGUGGUAUUAGCUAGUUGGUGGGGUAACGGGUCACCGAGGCGACGAGACGCAGCCGACCUGAGCGGGUGGUAGGCGACACUGGGGGGGGGACACGGCCCAUACGCCUGCGGGAGGCAGCAGUAGGGAAUCGUCGGCAAUAGACGAAAGUCUGACCGAGUAAGGCCGCGUGAGUGAAGAAGGGUUUCGGAGCGUAAAGAUCUGUUGUAAGAUGAGAACGAGUGUGAGAGAGGAAAGUUCACCCUGUGACGGUAGUUUACAAGAAAGCGACGGCUAACUACGUG
rnacentral:rRNA from 1 species